rnacentral:rRNA from 1 species
AUUGAACGCUGGCGGCAGGCCUAACACAUGCAAGUCGAGCGAGCGGCGGACGGGUGAGUAAUGUCUGGGAAACUGCCUGAUGGAGGGGGAUAACUACUGGAAACGGUAGCUAAUACCGCAUACCAUCAGAUGUGCCCAGGUGGGAUUAGCUAGUAGGGGUGGUAACGGCUCACCUAGGCGACGCUCCCUAGCUGGUCUGAGAGGCUGACCAGCCACACUGUAACGUAGACACGGGCCAGACUCCUACGGGAGGCAGCAGUGGGGAAUAUUGCACAAUGGGCGCAAGCCUGAUGUAGCAAUGCCGCGUGUGUGAAGAAGGCCUUCGGGUUGUAAAGCACUGUCAGCGGGGAGGCGUUACCCGCAGAAGAAGCACCGGCUAACUCCGUGCCAGCAGCCGCGGUAAUAC